rnacentral:rRNA from 1 species
UAGGAGGCAAGCGUUAUCCGGAAUGACUGGGCGUAAAGGGUGCGUAGGUGGUUUGACAAGUUGGUAGCGUAACUCCGGAGCUUAACUUCGGAACUACUACCAAAACUGUCGGACUUGAGUGCAGGAGGGGCAACUGGAAUUUCUAGUGUAGCGGUGGAAUGCGUAGAUAUUAGGAAGAACACCGGUGGCGAAGGCGAGUUGCUGGACUGUAACUGACACUGAGGCACGAAAGCGUGGGGAGCAAA